GGAUGCAGCUUAGUGGCAGAGCACCUGCUUCUUAUGCAGAAGGUCCCAGGUUCAAUCCUUAGCAGCUCCA